rnacentral:rRNA from 1 species
GACGAACGCUGGCGGCGUGCUUAACACAUGCAAGUGGAGCGACGAACCGGGCUUCGGCCCGGGGCAAAGCCGCGAACGGGUGAGUAACACGUGGGUAACCUGCCCCGAUGAUUGGGACAACCUCGGGAAACCGAGGCUAAUACCAAAUGUGCUCGUAUCCCUCGAGGGUUACGAGGAAAGGAAGCUUCGGCCUCCGCAUCGGGAUGGGCCCGCGGCGCAUUAGCUUGUUGGUGGGGUAAUGGCCUACCAAGGCUUCGAUGCGUAGCUGGUCUGAGGGGACGAGCGGCCACACUGGGACUGAGAAACGGCCCAGACUCCUACGGGAGGCAGCAGUGGGGAAUCUUGCGCAAUGCGCGAAAGCGUGACGCAGCAACGCCGCGUGCGGGAAGACGGCCUUCGGGUUGUAAACCGCUUUCAGUUGGGACGAAGCUUCGCCGGUGAAUAGCCGGCCGGAGUGACGGUACCUUCAGAAGAAGCCCCGGCUAACUACGUGCCAGCAGCCGCAGUAAAAC